UGCUUGGUCCUUUACCCCACUGUGGUC
rnacentral:piRNA from 1 species